rnacentral:rRNA from 1 species
AUUGAACGCUGGCGGCAUGCCUUACACAUACAAGUCGAACGGUAACAGGCCGCAAGGUGCUGACGAGUGGCGAACGGGUGAGUAAUGCAUCGGAACGUGCCCAGUAGUGGGGGAUAGCCCGGCGAAAGCCGGAUUAAUACCGCAUACGACCUGAGGGGGAAAGGGGGGGAUCGCAAGACCUCGCGCUAUUGGAGCGGCCGAUGUCAGAUUAGCUAGUUGGUGGGGUAAAGGCCUACCAAGGCAACGAUAUGUAGUUGGUCUGAGAGGACGACCGGCCACACUGGGGAGGGGACACGGCCCAGACUCCUACGGGAGGCAGCAGUGGGGAAUUUUGGACAAUGGGCGCAAGCCUGAUCCAGCAAUGCCGCGUGCAGGAAGAAGGCCUUCGGGUUGUAAACUGCUUUUGUCAGGGAAGAAAUCUUCUGGGUUAAUACCUCGGGAGGAUGACGGUACCUGAAGAAUAAGCACCGGCUAACUACGUGCCAGCCGCCGCGGUAAGAC